GAUUUUAGCAAAUGGCCGCAAUAGAACAAAGAGUGGGUCUGAAUACUUUUUGUACCCACUGGAAGUCUUAUUUGUUUAACAGACCUGAUCAGCCUGACCUUGAGCUAAGAGUUACUUUGUGCUGGUUUGUUGCCGGGUGAAAUGUUUUUUUUUUCAAUAAUUGUCUCAUUUGUCAGUCUUAUUUCAAGGUGUACUAAGGAGACUGAAGUUUGUCCUGCAGUUUAUUCCUCUGGUGUGUUUGUGUGUUCAGUGUGAGAUCAGGAUCAUGUGUGUCCAGCUCUGUGUCUCUGAAGAGUGACUGGUCAAUGAAUCAUCCACCAUACCUCGGAGAGAAAACACCAUCAUCUGCCCAAAGGUAUUUAGUGUUUUACAUAGUUGCUCACACAUGGAUUGUACUGAACAAUUUUUGGAACCAACAGUUCAGUAAAGAGAGUCAUACCUGAAUGAAUCAGUUGUGUGAAUGAAUCAAUGACUUUGGUGUCUCAUUUACAUUGUAUUACAUGUAUUAUUACAGUAGUUUCACCUGUUAACAGUGUUGAAUAUGAGUCAGCAGAUUCAGGAGACGAGACUCACAGGAGACACAAGAGCUUCACAGACAAUCUCCAGUGGAUCUUCCAGAAUCUUGAGAGCAAAAUGAUCAGAUUUCUGAAGAAUGAACUGGAAAAGUUUAUGAAAAUCUUACAAGACAAAAACAGACAAGAGUUUGUAAAAGACUUUAAAGAGAACAGAAGCAUUAUCACAGAAGCAGCUCUUGAUCUCACACUCUUCUUCCUGAGAGAGAUGAAGCAAGAUCAAGCUGCUGAUACUCUCCAGGGUAAGAGAGUCA
rnacentral:lncRNA from 1 species